UACGAGGGGGGCUAGCGUUGCUCGGAAUCACUGGGCGUAAAGCGCACGUAGGCGGAUCUUUAAGUCAGGGGUGAAAUCCUGGAGCUCAACUCCAGAACUGCCUUUGAUACUGGGGAUCUCGAGUCCGGAAGAGGUGAGUGGAACUCCGAGUGUAGAGGUGAAAUUCGUAGAUAUUCGGAAGAACACCAGUGGCGAAGGCGGCUCACUGGUCCGGUACUGACGCUGAGGUGCGAAAGCGUGGGGAGCGAACAGG
rnacentral:rRNA from 1 species